GUUGUUUCUCAGCCUUUUGGCUAAGAUCAAGUGUAGUAUCUGUUCUUAUCAGUAUAAAUGGAUUUAUAUCUAAAAGUAGAGAGAGUGUCAAAAUAUUCCUUAUAUCAAAAGUUCAAAAACCAUGGCAGCAGCAUCUGGUGUUUGUGGAAGAGCUCAGAUUUGAGUUCAGGUUCU
rnacentral:snRNA from 1 species